GGGGGAUAACGUAGCGAAAGUUACGCUAAUACCGCAUACGUCCUGAGGGAGAAAGCGGGGGAUCGCAAGACCUCGCGCGAUUGGAGUGGCCGAUGUCAGAUUAGCUAGUUGGUGGGGUAAAGGCCUACCAAGGCGACGAUCUGUAGCGGGUCUGAGAGGAUGAUCCGCCACACUGGGACUGAGACACGGCCCAGACUCCUACGGGAGGCAGCAGUGGGGAAUUUUGGACAAUGGGGGCAACCCUGAUCCAGCCAUGCCGCGUGCGGGAAGAAGGCCUUCGGGUUGUAAACCGCUUUCAGCCGGAAAGAAAUCGCCAUUCCUAAUACGAGUGGUGGAUGACGGUACCGGAAGAAGAAG
rnacentral:rRNA from 1 species